rnacentral:rRNA from 1 species
AGAGUUUGAUCCUGGCUCAGGACGAACGCUGGCGGCACGCUUAACACAUGCAAGUCGAACGAGAGAAGAGGAGCUUGCUUUUCUGAUCUAGUGGCGGACGGGUGAGUAACACGUGAGCAAUCUGCCUUUCAGAGGGGGAUACCGAUUGGAAACGAUCGUUAAUACCGCAUAACAUAAUUGAACCGCAUGAUUUGAUUAUCAAAGAUUUAUCGCUGAAAGAUGAGCUCGCGUCUGAUUAGCUAGUUGGUAAGGUAACGGCUUACCAAGGCGACGAUCAGUAGCCGGACUGAGAGGUUGAUCGGCCACAUUGGGACUGAGACACGGCCCAGACUCCUACGGGAGGCAGCAGUGGGGAAUAUUGCACAAUGGAGGAAACUCUGAUGCAGCGAUGCCGCGUGAGGGAAGAAGGUUUUAGGAUUGUAAACCUCUGUCUUCAGGGACGAAAAAAGACGGUACCUGAGGAGGAAGCUCCGGCUAACUACGUGCCAGCAGCCGCGGUAAUACGUAGGGAGCGAGCGUUGUCCGGAAUUACUGGGUGUAAAGGGAGCGUAGGCGGGAUCGCAAGUCAGAUGUGAAAACUAUGGGCUUAACCCAUAAACUGCAUUUGAAACUGUGGUUCUUGAGUGAAGUAGAGGUAAGCGGAAUUCCUAGUGUAGCGGUGAAAUGCGUAGAUAUUAGGAGGAACAUCAGUGGCGAAGGCGGCUUACUGGGCUUUAACUGACGCUGAGGCUCGAAAGCGUGGGGAGCAAACAGGAUUAGAUACCCUGGUAGUCCACGCCGUAAACGAUGAUUACUAGGUGUGGGGGGACUGACCCCUUCCGUGCCGCAGCAAACGCAAUAAGUAAUCCACCUGGGGAGUACGACCGCAAGGUUGAAACUCAAAGGAAUUGACGGGGGCCCGCACAAGCAGUGGAGUAUGUGGAUUAAUUCGAAGCAACGCGAAGAACCUUACCAGGUCUUGACAUCGUAUGCAUAGCUCAGAGAUGAGUGAAAUCUCUUCGGAGACAUAUAGACAGGUAGUGCAUGGUUGUCGUCAGCUCGUGUCGUGAGAUGUUGGGUUAAGUCCCGCAACGAGCGCAACCCUUACUGUUAGUUGCUACGCAAGAGCACUCUAGCAGGACUGCCGUUGACAAAACGGAGGAAGGUGGGGAUGACGUCAAAUCAUCAUGCCCCUUAUGACCUGGGCCUCACACGUACUACAAUGGCUGUCAACAGAGGGGAGCAAAGCCGCGAGGUGGAGCGAACCCCUAAAAGCAGUCUUAGUUCGGAUUGUAGGCUGCAACCCGCCUACAUGAAGUCGGAAUUGCUAGUAAUCGCAGAUCAGCAUGCUGCGGUGAAUACGUUCCCGGGCCUUGUACACACCGCCCGUCACGCCAUGGGAGUCGGUAACACCCGAAGCCUGUAGUCUAACCGCAAGGAGGACGCAGUCGAAGGUGGGAUUGAUGACUGGGGUGAAGUAGUAACAAGGUA